rnacentral:misc_RNA from 1 species
GGAUGAGGAGUGAGUAAUGAGUUUUAGGACCAUCCUAUUAUAACUUGUGUUACUGUCAAAGCUAGUUUUGUUGCUACCUUUACGGGGCUAUUUUUUAAUUUAAAUUACCGCUUUAUUGUUUUGGUUUCCAACUUCCAUAUUGGGUUUGAUCUGUGAUGCAUUAUAUGUGCCCAUGAUCUGUGCUGAGGAUUAUUAUUUUUUUUCCACCAAAUGACAACACAAAUGGCUGGUUAUUCAAUCUGUAAAUUAAACAGAUGGUACUUCUGUGCUUAAGCUAUAAUUUAAACUUUAUUUGUAACACAGUUUCUUAAUAUGUUCAUCUGUUGCCUAUAAUACACCCCUGUAAUGUAUGAUACCCGACUACUAAGUUGAUAAUGUUGAUUUAUAGUGUGGACGUGGUGUUUAUUAAAUAAUGAAAUUAUAAUUUCUCUC